rnacentral:rRNA from 1 species
GACGAACGCUGGCGGCGUGCCUAAUACAUGCAAGUAGAACGCUGAAGGAGGAUCUUGCUUCUCUGGAUGAGUUGCGAACGGGUGAGUAUCCCGUAGGUAACCUGCCUGGUAGUGGGGGAUAACUAUUGGAAACGAUAGCUAAUACCGCAUAAGAGUAGAUGUUGCAUUACAUUUACUUAAAACCUGCAGUUGCUUCCUUACCACAUGGACCUGCUUUGUAUUAGCUAGUGGGUGGGGUAACGGCUCACCAAGGCGACGAUACGUAGACUACCUGAGAAGGUGAUCGGCCAGACUGGGAGUGAGAAACGGCCCAGGCUCCUAAGGGAAGCAGCAGUAGUGAAUCUUCGGGAAUGGACGGAAGUCUGACCGAGAAACGACGCGUGAGUGAGGAAGGUUCUCGGAUCGUAAAGCUCUGUUGUAAGGGAAGAACGAGUGUGAGAGUGGUAAGUUCACACUGUGACGGUAUCUUACCAGAAAGGGACGGCUAACUACGUG